rnacentral:rRNA from 1 species
CGCGUAGGUGGUUGUGUAAGUCAGAUGUGAAAUCCCCCGGCUCAACCGGGGAACUGCAUUUGAUACUGCAUGACUCGAGUACAGGAGAGGGAAACGGAAUUCCCGGUGUAGAGGUGAAAUUCGUAGACAUCGGGAGGAACACCGGUGGCGAAGGCGGUUUCCUGGCCUGAUACUGACGCUGAGGCGCGAAAGCGUGGGUAGCAAACAGGAUUAGAUACCCUGGUAGUCCACGCUGUAAACGGUGAGUACUGGGUGUGGGAGGUGUAAUGCCUUCUGUGCCGAAGCUAACGCGUUAAGUACUCCGCCUGGGGAGUACGGCCGCAAGGUUGAA